rnacentral:rRNA from 1 species
CCCGCUGAACUUAAGCAUAUAACUAAGCGGAGGAAAAGAAACUAACAAGGAUUCCCUCAGUAACGGCGAGUGAAGCGGGAAAAGCUCAGACUGAAAACCUUCGGGGAUGUAGUCUGGAGAUGGGACAUCGAAUCGCAGGAAGUCGAUAAAGUGGUCUGGAAUGACACGCCGUGGAGGGUGACAGCCCCGUUCGUAUCGAUGAAAUGUGUUAGUAGAUGCCUGUCAACGAGUCGAGUUGUUUGGGAUUGCAGCUCAAAGCGGGAGGUAAAUUCCUUCUAAAGCUAAAUACGGAUAGGAGACCGAUAGCAAACAAGUACCGUGAGGGAAAGAUGAAAAGCACUUUGAAAAGAGAGUGAAAUAGUACGUGAAAUUGCUGAAAAGGAACCGCUGGGAAGCAGUGUGCUGGUUGUAGACUCGUCUAUGACAUAGCAAGUGAGGCUUGUUUCGGUUGCGAGAAAAAAGGCCUGAGAUUGAUCAGAUCACCUAUCGAGCACUGGAAUGACUCUCACGAAAUGCUUCUCAUCAACCCGUCUUGAAACACGG